AUAGAUAAUUAAAACACAGCAGCUGCUUUCAACACAUAUAUCAUGUUGGCUUACUAUUCAUUGUUAUUUAGCAGAUGUUUAUUUAUUUAUUUUUUUAUAUAAUGAUUUCUAUUUUUUCCAUUAUAGCUGGUUUACAGUGUUCCAUCAAUUUUCUACUGUACAGCAUGAUGACCCAGUUACACAUACAUGUAUACAUUCUUUUUUCUCACAUAUUGUCAUGUUCCAUCAAAAGUGACCAGACAUAGUUCUCAGUGCUACACAGCAGGAUCCCAUUGCUAAUCCAUUCCAAAGGCAAUAGUCUGCAUCUGUUAAUCCCAUGCUCCCAAUCCAUCCCACUCCCUUUCCCUCCCCCUUGGCAACCACAAGUCUAUUCUUGGAUUAGGAAUAUAUACACAAUGGAAUACUACUCAGCCAUAAAAAAGAACAAAACAAUGCCAUUUGCAGCAACAUGGAUGGAACAGAGACUCUGAUCCUGAGUGAAGUAAGUCAGAAAGAGAAAGGCAAAUACCAUAUGAUAUCACAUAUCUGCAAUCUAAUAUAUGGCACAAAUGAACCUUUCCACAGACAAGAAAAUCAUGGACUUGGGGCAAAUGUUUAUUGACUUGAAUAAGAAAGCAUGGUUUAUGCCUCUGUGGGGGACAUUUAUCUGCAUUAACUCAAUAAUUGUACAGGUAUAUAAUUACAAAUUAUGCUUAAGUGCUACAGUGAAGAUGAGUAAGCUGACAGGAGAGAAGAGAAUGGGGCAGCUUCAUCUUUUUGGGAAAUCAAGGGUGUAUUCAGCCCAUAGUGACUGAUGAGGAGACACUAAGUGAAGGAGUUGGUUGGCUCUGCAGAUAGAGGGAGCAGCUUGCACACAGGCCCUCUGAUGGGUGGGGACAUGUUUCCCAACAACCCAUGGCUGGAGCACCAGAGGCAAGCGAGGUGAAGCUGGGAGAGGCGGUAGGGCCAUUCCAUGCAGAGUCCUGGCCUAGGAUUUUAGUCUCUAUCUUAAAAUGAAUGCAGUGGAAAGCCUUAGAAGCUGUUUUAGGCACGGAGACAAAAGGGUCAGAUUUGCUUUCUGAAUAUUACUCAUUCUUCUGGAGAACAAGUUGGAGGGUGUCAAGAGUGAAUCUAGAACUAGUCAGGAGGUAUGGCAGUAAUCUAGGGAGUGGAUUGUUAUACUGGAUUAAUCCACUACAGUGGAGUGGUGGAAGUGGAGAAUGGGGGAACAGUGGGGAGAUUUGAGAAAUUUCUGUGGAGACAAAUACAUAGGAUUUGGUGGGGGAUUGGAUAUGGAGGGUGAAGGAGAGGAAACUGUCAAGAACGAAUGCUGUGGGUGGCCUUUACACCUGAAUAGGCAGAGCUGCCAUUCAUUGGCAUGAGAGGAGCCUGGUUUGAGGGAAUGGUGACUCUAGUUUUGGGAUUUGUGGAGUUUAAAGUAGCUUUGAAGCAUCUAAGCAAAGAUGUCAAGUAGUCAGUUGAACACGUGGGUCUAGAGCAGAGGCUAGACUGGGGGUAGAAAUUUGGGAGCCACCAGAACAGAGAUGGUGAUGGAAUUGGAGUGGACGAGCAGAUGUACAGGAGGGUAUUUAGUGGGAGAAGCCUUGGAGCUGACGCUGGAGAAACUCUGACUUUUAAAGGUCUGAAACAAGGGAGUGCGCCCACCAAGAAGAUAGGGAAGGACUGGGUAGGGAAGAAGGACAACAAUAGACUUCAGAGUCAGCGCCUCUGCAUGAGGAGGGAUGUUAGUUUUCCAGGGCUGCUGAGACAAAGUACCACAAACUAGUGGCUGAAAAUAGCAGAAAUGUAUUUUCUCACAGUUCUGGAUAUUAGAAGCCUGAAGGCAAAGUGUCUGCAGUAUGGGUUCCUUUCAAGGGUGUUAAGAGGCAUCUGUCCCCUGCCUCUCUCCUGGCUUCUGGUCAAGGCUUCCAAUCCCUGUGGUCCCUUGAUUUGUGGAUGCAUUGCUCAAGUAUUGGCUUCCGUCUUCACGAAGUGUUCUCUCUGUGUCUUCACAUGGCAUCUCCUCAUAAGAACACUGGUCAAACUGGGUUAGGGUCCCACUCAACUCCAAUAUCACCUCUUUUUUUUUUUCUUUCCUCUUUUUAGGGCUGCACCUGAGGCAUGUGGAAGUUCCCAGGCUGGGGUCGAACUGGAGCUGCAGCUGCCGGCCUACACCACAGCCGUGACAACAGCAACAUCAGAUCUGAGUCGAGUCUGUGACCUAUACUGUGGCAGCGCUGGAUCCUUAACCUACUGAGCGAGGCUAGGGAUUGAACCCGCAUCCUCAUGGAUACUAGUCAGGUUCAUUACUGCUGAGCCACAAUGGGAACUCCAGUUUUAUCUCAUCUUAAUUAUAUCUGCAACAAGUCUAUUUCCAAAUCAGGUUCCAUUCUGAGGUACCGGGGUUCACACUUCAAUAUCUUUUAGGGGGACACAAUUCAAAUACAUGCAGAUUGCCUCCUUGUAAGACCUUAUAAGGGAGGCGGGGACAGUCAAGACCCAGUUCCCAUCCUUUCGUAAUAUCUUAAUACAGGUUAUAUUAUUCUGUCCGAUGUGGUCCCAAAAAGGUGUGUACAGUAGCUGAGAUGGAUGUGAGGGUGGGCAUAGAAAAAAGGAAGGAUUUUAUAUUAUUUUCUCUAUGGAUGUCUCCAUUUUCAGAGUCAUCAAUUUAAGAAUAGUAACUAAUAAUAAUUGCACGUAUUAGGGCCAAGCAAAUAUUCUAGAUACUCAAACUCCAUGAACAAAUUUAAUCUUUACCCAGACCCCACGAAGAAUAUUGUCCAAUAUUUCAUAAAUGUUAAAGUGCCAUCAGUUGUGAGAUAGCAUGUGAUGUACUUCUAAGAAAGAACAAUAAAGCCUCCAAUUAAUUGAAAGAUGCUCGUGAUGAGAGGAAGACACAGCCUGGUUUCAA
rnacentral:lncRNA from 1 species